AUUGAACGCUGGCGGCAUGCCUUACACAUGCAAGUCGAACGGCAGCACGGGUGCUUGCACCUGGUGGCGAGUGGCGAACGGGUGAGUAAUACAUCGGAACAUGUCCUGUAGUGGGGGAUAGCCCGGCGAAAGCCGGAUUAAUACCGCAUACGAUCUACGGAUGAAAGCGGGGGACCUUCGGGCCUCGCGCUUUAGGGUUGGCCGAUGGCUGAUUCGCUAGUUGGUGGGGUAAAGGCCUACCAAGGCGACGAUCAGUAGCUGGUCUGAGAGGACGACCAGCCACACUGGGACUGAGACACGGCCCAGACUCCUACGGGAGGCAGCAGUGGGGAAUUUUGGACAAUGGGCGAAAGCCUGAUCCAGCAAUGCCGCGUGUGUGAAGAAGGCCUUCGGGUUGUAAAGCACUUUUGUCCGGAAAGAAAUCCUUGGCCCUAAGACGGUCGGGGGAUGACGGUACCGGAAGAAUAAGCACCGGCUAACUACGU
rnacentral:rRNA from 1 species